CGGUCCGAGUUUAGAAGCAAAGCUUCAAAGAAAACCGUGCUUUUUCCGCGUGGCGUAUUAUCAGGCCCGUUUCGAAGGCAAAAACAUCUUCCACGGAAACCGUCGAGAGAAUCGUUUCGAGCCGGCAAAUCCUGUUCCCUGGCGAGCCACUGCGCCGGCUAUCGCGAAGAAAAGCAGCAUCGCAAUAGUUCACCCGAUGACAAUAACAACGCCGCGAAGCAAAUAUUUGCGCACGAGCGCGGUCCGCGUUGGAAUCGCGGAACGAGGAAGAGUUCCAUCGAAUGUUUACGAGUUGCAAACAUCCCAUCGGUUCGUGGAUCGCGGGGUCGAUAGUCGUGUGUCGAUGAAUUUACUGAAAGAUCCGGCGUCAGCGACGGGUUCGUCCCGUCCGAAGAAUCCGUCGGACCCGGAGGCCCCACCUCCUCGUCGACGCGGCGCGAUUCCGGCUGGGCCGAUCGCCACGAGGACGCGUGACGUGCUCGAACACGUGAGGAGGCUGCGUCGGGAAACGUCACGGCGUCACGUGACCGCCGCGACCUACGUAGAAGCGACGGGCGACGGGGAGUGGGGGACUCGGGACGGCGACGGUGGAAACGCGGCGGCGGGAAAGCAAUAACGCGAUAGAACAGAGGCUUUUCGCCGAAUCGGGACGUCAGCGGUUAUCGGCGCGCGUCAUCGGUGGUUGCCAGGCCCCGCGAUCGGCGGCGGGACGACGGGGCGUGCACCGUCGUCGUGUAGCCGUCGUCGCCGCCGCGUUCCCCGGAUAAAUCAAUAUGCCGGUGGAAAUUAUUCCACGAUACGGGGAACCGUCGGGUCGCCGGUUUGUUCGCGCUCGGUCGAUUCAAAGGUUUCGCCGAGACGGAACGUCGACGCGUGUUCCGCUAAUGAAAUCGAUCGUCGUGAAUGAAAUGCUGCAUCGCCGCUACGUCAACCGCCACGUGACUGCCAUGUGUGCGUCCGUGUGACCCGCCCGAGGUCGUUCCUCGACGACCGCGCGGAACGAUAACAAAACGUUCGACGACUUUUCGUUCGCGCGUCAGUCACCGGCCAAUGUUCGUCCGCCUCGUUGCUCUUUUCGGCGGUUCGGCCCGUCACGGCGAUCCGAUACACCUACUACUAGUGCAUGUCGGUCGCGUACGGCAGUCAACGCUGGUUUCGCAACAGUGCCGCGAGAUACGCGUGUCUCGCUCGCUCGCUCGGAUUCGGCGGUCGUUCGGCGCGCGUCGGUUCAUUCCGCCGAUAGGUUCGCGGCGGUUCCCGAAACGAUUCCAUCGAGAUCGGCCGUGACACGGUUAUUGGCUAGUGGGCUGCGGAUGUUGUCGCAAGUGUAACGACAUCUAGGAUCGAUCGGAGGAAGAGAAGGAGGAGGAGGAGGAGAGGGGGCGGGCGGCGUUACAGCCUCCGUUCCGGAAAUCGAAUGGUGAUUAAUAACGGUCGCGUAACCGACAGGCUCGCGUCGGAAGGGAACCACGUUGAAACGGACCGUUUGUCAUCGAGCGGCAGAGUUUCGCCGCGAUUCUCGCGGGGAACCGACGCGACAGUGACACGCGAGAACGAGAGAAGCGACGCUGGUGCCAACCGUCGCUGCGAAACGCGCGCACCGCCGCCGCCGACGCGCCAGAAAUGCGAUUACGCGACGUUUCGAGAGAAUCGUCGAAAGAUAUACGGAGGCCUAUUGGAAAGGGAAAUGCUACAUUGGCGAAGGAACGAGCUACCAAACACUACGCUGACGCGUACUGUCUAGACACUGGCUCACGCUGAAACUGUUGCGCCGAAUUGAUACGGCGCUUCCGCGGUGUUCGUAACGAAGAUGUUCGACGGCGGGUCACCCCGUGACAACCUAACCUGUAGCCAAGUAGGAUCGGAAGGCGACGAAGAAAACGAUUGGAAGUGCGUGAAAGCUACGCGAAUGGAACGCGCGCGUCGAGGUCGGUGUCGUCGUAAACGGACUAAUUGAACGAUGACGACGAGCGUGGUGUGGCACUCUAGGUGGUCUCUCGCGGAGUUAAAAGUAACCACGGCCACACCGUGUCCGCGCGCUCGCGCGCGCUGAGGGAAAGUAGGAGAAUCGAAAACGUAAGUCGUACGUAUUGGAAAGUGGUUGAAGACGCUCGAAGUGGGAACAAGGAAAGUUCGACGUCCGAGGGCAGAGCGGUGGGACGCGAAGAGGAAGAGAAGUUAUCGCGCUCGCGCGCGCGCGCGCGCCCGCGACAUAGGUACGAAUGAAGAGUCGGCCGCGUGACUCGGAAUCUGCGCAGUAAAUCGCGUUCACGUGAACGCGCCGCCGAGAACGAGCGCGCUCGUCACGAGGAGAGGAAAGCUUUCGAACGCCGAUCAACGUUUAACGGUUACAACAUGCCGCGCGGCGUAUGUAACUGCUUUUGCCGGGUUGCACGCCGGACUCGUUUAUCCGGAACGCGACGAUCGGUCGGUCCGCCGGCCGCCGCUUCUGCUCCCUAGUUCCGUUCGUGUUUCAGCGUUCGGCUAUCGGCCGAGCACGAAGCCCCUUCUGCGAAAGACGUGGGCGACGCGCUCGCGCUUACGUAAUACCCCCCGAUAAGACGGAUAACGGCGUUGCGCCUUCUCCUUCGAGCCACCUAAGCGGCGCCUCUAUUUUCAAACGCGCGAGCAAAACCGUCGCAGUCCCGAUAUCCCGGCACGCCCGAACGUUUUUCCGCAUCGAUGAAAAUGUCACCGACCGACCGUCCACCCGGCCAGACUGCUACGACAACAACCUCGAUUGGACGGGGCGAGGGGACCUUGCGGUGCACAUGGCGCGCCGGUAACGUCGGAAGCUUCCAUUCAUCUGGGAUCUGCGAAAUCCGUGCGCGGACGUUGC